GCGAGAAAACUUUGCAAUGUGCGAAAGCACGACAAGGUUAAUCCGAGUGGUUUCUGCUAAAGAAACCUUUUGUCAGUCCUAGAAACACUAACGAAUAAGGGGUGGGCAAGUUCUGGUGUCAGCCGCCGCGGUAAAACCAGCACUUCAAGUGGUCAGGAUGAUUAUUGGGCCUAAAGCAUCCGUAGCUCGUUUUGUAAGUUUUCGGUUAAAUCCAUACACUUAACGUAUGGGCUGCCGGGAAUACUGCAUAACUAGGAAGUGGGAGAGGUAGACGGUACUCGGUAGGAAGGGGUAAAAUCCUUUGAUCUAUUGAUGACCACCUGUGGCGAAGGCGGUCUACCAGAACACGUUCGACGGUGAGGGAUGAAAGCUGGGGGAGCAAACCGGAUUAGAUACCCUCGUAGUCCCUGAGCGGGCUGGCAAGGCGCAU
rnacentral:rRNA from 1 species